rnacentral:rRNA from 1 species
AAAUUGAAGAGUUUGAUCAUGGCUCAGAUUGAACGCUGGCGGCAGGCCUAACACAUGCAAGUCGAACGGUAACAGAAAGCAGCUUGCUGCUUUGCUGACGAGUGGCGGACGGGUGAGUAAUGUCUGGGAAACUGCCUGAUGGAGGGGGAUAACUACUGGAAACGGUAGCUAAUACCGCAUAACGUCGCAAGACCAAAGAGGGGGACCUUAGGGCCUCUUGCCAUCGGAUGUGCCCAGAUGGGAUUAGCUAGUAGGUGGGGUAAA